UUCCCCCAUCAGAGUAUUGUGCCAGUUCAGUAACAGAUACCAUGUUUGUCUUGUGCUUUAUUUUGUGCCUCUCAUUUCUCUCUGAAGUCAAGUCUGAUAUUGAGCUUGUUCAGCCAAGUUCAGAAAUCAAAUCACCUGGUGAGAGUGUUAAACUGUCCUGCAAGACAUCAGGUUACACAUUCACCAGCUACUGGAUACACUGGAUACAGCAGGUUCCUGGGAAAGGAUUGCAAUGGAUGGGAGUGAUAGAUCCAUCAGAUGCAGAGACAAACUACUCACCCUCAUGCAAAGAAAGGUGCCACAUUAGCACUGAUAAUCCACAAAGCACAGCAUUCCUGCAACUGAACAAUCUAAAAGUGGAGGACACUGCCAUGUAUUACUGUGCUAGAAGAGACACACAGAAAACAACCAACUGACUAGUCAUACAAAAUGAUUCUGUGUAAGACGUGAUUCUAAACCACCACUAGAGAGCACCAGCAUAUUAAGUCAGAUAACAGGUAGUGGAACUGAGACUGAUGAGGAUGAAGUCAAGGAAUGGAAUCAG